rnacentral:rRNA from 1 species
CUAGUUGGUAGGGUAGUGGCCUACCAAAGUGGUAACGGGUAACGGGGAAUCAGGGUUUGAUUCCGGAGAGGGAGCCUUAGAAACGGCUACCACGUCCAAGGAAGGCAGCAGGCGCGCAAAUUACCCACUCUAGAUACUGGGAGGUAGUGACGAGAAAUAAUGGGGGCACCCUAAAAGGGCGCCGUCUGUAAUGAACGAAACACAAAAGCGUCGGUGAGGACCUACUGGAGGGCAAGUCUGGUGCCAGCAGCCGCGGUAAUUCCAGCUCCAGUAGUGUAUAUCAACAUUGUUGCGCUUAAAACGCUCGUAGUUGGGUUGCAGAUCGUAUGACGUGAGCCUUUACGGCUCUCGUUACACCAGUCCCUCAGGACUAGUAUCACUAGCCCUGGAGGACUGUUACGAGAUUGAGUAUCGGAAAGAGGGUCGGUUUUGAAUAACCGGCCUGCUAUCCCGGUAAAGUGUGCCUUGAAUAAAGCAUAAUGCUAGAAGUAAGCUAGUAGCUCGAGUGUAAUAGCAUGGAACGAAUAGUGACCAAGGGCGCAAGCCCGCCCCGACAACGACACGGGGGGUCUAAAUGACCAAGAGGAAAGUUUGCGGGCACUGGUACUUUGGGGCGAGAGGGGAAAUUCUUAGACCCCCAAAAGACCAACUACUGCGAAGGCAUUUGCCAAAGAUGUUUCCGUUAAUCAAGAACGAAGGUCAGAGGAUCGAAGACGAUCAGAUACCGUCCUAGUUUUGACAGAAAACUCUGCCGGCGUAGGUGGGCGGCGAUCACUCGCAAAGAGACGAAUCACCGCGGACCUUAGGGGAAACCUGAGCUUUCGGGCUGCUGGGAGAAUAUUGCUGCAAGGCUGAAAUUUAAAGAAAUUGACGGAGAGGCACCACCAGGAGUGGAGCUUGCGGCUUAAUUUGACUCAACACGGGGAAACUCACCGGGUCCAGACAUUGGAAGGAUUGACAGAGUGGUGGAUCUUUCAUGAUUCAGUGAAUGGUGGUGCAUGGCCGUUCUUAGUUGGUGGAGUGAUCUGUCAGGUUUAUUCCGGUAACGAGCGAGACCGCGGUCUUUAAUUGCUUUUCUCUUUAGUUGUCCCUCCCGGGUCAACAGGCGGAAAGAAAAUAAAGAGACAAUCGGUGCAAAGCCGAAGGAAGCGCGGCAAUAACAGGUCUGUGAUGCCCUGCGAUGUCCUGGGCUGCACGCGUGCUACAAUGGCAGGAUAAGAAGGCGGCUGGCCCGAGCGGGUUGGCGAAGCGUGAAUACCUGCCGCGAUGGGGACUGAGCCUUGCAAUUAUUGCUCACGAAAGAGGAAUUCCUCGUAGGCGCAGGUCAUGAGCCUGCGUCGAAUACGUCUCUGCCUCUUGUAC